GGCGGCAGCCCUCAGGCCUCUUCUACGCCUGUGCGGAGCCGGCUCAGCCCCCGGUUUCCCGGCCCUUCCUGGUCCGGAGUCUGCACCCGGGGAGGCCCUCGUGACUGCGGUCGCCAGGCUCCACUGCGAAUUGGAAGAGAAGGGGGUGCACCCCCAAGUUAGAGGAAGGGCUGGCGGGGAGCUCCGAGGCCUCGGGAACAGGAGGGAAGGAGGGGCCGGGCGGAGCCUCGGUCCGCGGAGCGGGGACGUGCGCCUUCCCCGCAUCCCUCCGGAGCGAGGCCCCGAAGCGGGUUUCCGAAGGUCAGGGAGAAAGGCAGCGAGGGCCGGGCAGAGCCCCAGACCUGCAGGCCUCGGAACGGGCUCUCCCUGCAGACCUUCUUGCCUGAAGAAGGUGUUCUGUGAACGUGAAAGGACUCUAUGAAUGAGCUGCCUUCUCUGUUGUGCACUGGAAUUUACAACGGAAGGCGGUGGGCUGGAGCUGAUACCAUAGGCUCUCCUGGUUCUUGGGCUUCCAGACAUGGUCUAGAACUAGAACUACACCAUCAGAUUUCCUGGGUCCCCAGCCUGCUGUGUACAGAGCUGGGGCCUUCUCAGCCUUCAUAAUCAUGGGAGUCAAUUCCUUAUAAUAAA